AUACUACAAUGUAUGUUUCUCAAAUAUCUAUAGUCAACUUGUUACCUGAUUUUAUUGAGGGAUUUCUAAAUGGACCGUGUUAUUUUUGCACAUAUAAAAAUAUUGGCAACAAUUUCUUUUUCUUUUUUUAUUUAUAGAUUUUGUCAUGCCAUCAUUGCAGGUAUUCUUUCUCAUUUGUUUCAGGUAUCUCCUCCAUUCUCUUAUAAUAAGUUUUGGUAGUUUGGUUUCAGGCUACAAGGUAAAAGAAACAGCGAAGUUAGGUCCUGUCAGAGAAGCCUACGAAUUCGAAGGGUACUAUAUAUUAGGUGGAGCCAUCAUAAUUCAAUAAUUCAUGAUUUUUAUGAUAAAGAUUUGAUUUAUCUUUAGCUACAUGUUAUGUUAAGAAUUAAAAAAUCAUGUUAUGUUUGAUACUUUAUUUGUAUAGGAGUUAUAGGAGUUAUUACUUUUUAUUUUCAAUACUAAAAUAUUAUAUAUUAUGUUUAAUACUUUAUUUGAGUUAUGUAAUAUUUUGUUUAUAAGUUAUGAUUUCUUGUUAUUGUAAAAUUUUAAACAAAAAUUUAUUUGUUUAACGUAGUAAAAACGACGGUUAAAACUCAUGUGCAGAUAAAAUCGUAUGCUAAUUUAAAAGAUAAAAAAUGUUACUUUUAUCCGGUAAAAACGACGGCUUGUAACUGCCAUUUUAAACAAUUAAAACGCAUUUUAACCUAGAAAAAAUGGUGAUUUUAAACUACCAUUUUUAAACAAUAAAUACUGCCGUUUUAAACAACGAAAUGCCAUUUUAACCAACAAAAAGAUGCUGUUUUAUCUGGAAAUAACGGCGGUUUGAAUCGCCAUUUUAACCAAAUUCAAAAACCGCCGUUUUAACCAGGUAAUUGUGGCGGGCUGAAACUGCCGUUUUAACAAAAAAAAUGCCAUUUUAUCUGGAAAUAACGGCGGUUUGAACCGCCGUUUUAACCCAACUCAAAAACCGCCGUUUUAACCAGGUAAUUGUGGCGGUUUGAAACCGCCGUUUUAACUAACAAAAAAUGCCAUUUUAUCUGGAAAUAACGGCGGUUUGAACCGCCGUUUUAACCCAACUCAAAAACCGCCGUUUUAACCAGGUAAUUGUGGCGGUUUGAAACCGCCGUUUUAACUAACAAAAAAUGCCAUUUUAUCUGGAAAUAACGGCGGUUUUCUUUUUCUUUUUUUAUUUAUAGAUUUUGUCAUGCCAUCAUUGCAGGUAUUCUUUCUCAUUUGUUUCAGGUAUCUCCUCCAUUCUCUUAUAAUAAGUUUUGGUAGUUUGGUUUCAGGCUACAAGGUAAAAGAAACAGCGAAGUUAGGUCCUGUCAGAGAAGCCUACGAAUUCGAAGGGUACUAUAUAUUAGGUGGAGCCAUCAUAAUUCAAUAAUUCAUGAUUUUUAUGAUAAAGAUUUGAUUUAUCUUUAGCUACAUGUUAUGUUAAGAAUUAAAAAAUCAUGUUAUGUUUGAUACUUUAUUUGUAUAGGAGUUAUAGGAGUUAUUACUUUUUAUUUUCAAUACUAAAAUAUUAUAUAUUAUGUUUAAUACUUUAUUUGAGUUAUGUAAUAUUUUGUUUAUAAGUUAUGAUUUCUUGUUAUUGUAAAAUUUUAAACAAAAAUUUAUUUGUUUAACGUAGUAAAACCGACG
rnacentral:lncRNA from 1 species